GUCUGUUUUAAGCUAACUUUAUUAGUUGAAUUGUCAUGUGAAACUGAGGUGGUUGCACAAAGAAUACAAGACAAUGACCUAACCACAUGCUUAAAUGAACAAAAAAAAUGCAGAAAUUAUUCCAUUCUUAUGAUGGGAAAUUAAUUAUAUUAUCAUCCAACAAAGACGAGGAUUAUGGAUUCAAUUGAUUCAAGGGCAAUCAAACUUUUUGCCAUGAAGUAUCACAUAAUCCCAGCUGUGGCACUUGUCCAGGUUACCAGAAGUUCCUGGAGGAACACAUUUGCUCUUGGCACAGCAUGCUGUGCACGCUUUCAUGCAGGCCCUCUUCUCAGGACUGGACUUGCACCGCUCCUCGCAGAGAUUGACACAUCCAUGCUCCACAGGAGAUGGUGCCUUAUACGGGGCAGAGUAAUGGAUUGGCGGAAUUUUACUUGGGGCAGGGGCUGGAGCCUUCUUUGGAGGCUGAGGAGCCUUCUCUGGGGCAUAAUGAUGAUGAGACUUCUCUGGAGCUAGAGCUGGAGCUUUCUUUGGGGCAUGUUGGUGAUUGUGAGAAUAAUUACUGUUUUCUGCAGGAGAUGGUGCCUUGGAUGGGACAGAAUAAUGGACUGGGGGAACUUUGCCUGGGAGAGGGCCUAGAGCCUUCUUUGGAGGUUGGGGAGCCUUCUCUGGGGCAUGAUUGGACUUUUCUGGAGCUAAAGCUGGAGCUUUCUGGGGCGCAUGUUGAUGAUUGUGAGAAUAAUUAUUGUAUUCUGCAGGAGAUGGUGCCUUCGACGGAACAGAGUAAUGGACUGAGGGAACUUUGCCCUGGAGAGGAGCUGGAGCAUUCUUUGGAGGUUGGGGAACCCUCCCUGAGACAUGAUGAUGAUGAGACUUCUGUGGUGUUGGAGCUUUCUUUGGGGCAUGAUGAUGACGAGAGCUCUCUGGUGUUGGGGCUUUCUUUGGGGCAUGAUGGUGUUGAUGGUGAUGUUGAUGAGACAUUUCUGGGGCUGGUGCCUUCUCUCGGGGAUAAGGAGCCUUUUGUGGUGCAUGAUUAUGAUAUUGGUGGUGGCGAUAAUCAUGAGACUUCUCUGGAGGAUGAGAAGCCUUCUCUGGAGCAUGGGCAGGGGCCUUCUCACGGAUGGUUUCCUCCUCACUAGACAUAACCGUGGUAAUGACAAGAAGGAAACAAGCAAACAAGAAGAGCAAGCUAGCUUUCAAAGCCAUUAUUACAAUGCAGAAUGUGGUAUGCCUAAUGGCUUU
rnacentral:misc_RNA from 1 species